UGUAUGAAGUUGGAAUCGCUAGUAAUCGCGGAUCAGCAUGCCGCGGUGAAUACGUUCCCGGGCCUUGUACACACCGCCCGUCACACCAUGAGAGUCGGGAACACCCGAAGUCCGUAGCCUAACCGCAAGGAGGGCGCGGCCGAAGGUGGGUUCGAUAAUUGGGGUGAAGUCGUAACAAGGUAAC
rnacentral:rRNA from 1 species